rnacentral:rRNA from 1 species
CCUACGGGAGGCAGCAGUGAGGAAUAUUGGUCAAUGGACGGAAGUCUGAACCAGCCAUGCCGCGUGCAGGAAGACGGCUCUAUGAGUUGUAAACUGCUUUUGUACAAGGGUAAACCUGCAUACGUGUAUUCAGCUGAAAGUACUGUACGAAUAAGGAUCGGCUAACUCAGUGCCAGCAGCCGCGGUAAUACGGAAGAUACAAGCGUUAUCCGGAUUUAUUGGGUUUAAAGGGUGCGUAGGCGGAUUGAUAAGUUAGAGGUGAAAUGUCCGAGCUUAACUCGGGAACUGCCUCUAAUACUGUUGAACUAGAGAGUAGGAGCGGUAGGCGGAAUGUAAGGUGUAGCGGUGAAAUGCUUAGAGAUCAUACAGAACACCGAUUGCGAAGGCAGCUUACCAAUAUAUAUCUGACGUUGAGGCACGAAAGCGUGGGGAGCAAACAGGAUUAGAUACCCGAGUAGUC